UAUCUGCUUCCAUAAUGAGGUGAGUGUGCAUGAAGUGAUUGAUGCUUUGUUGUACAUCAUGCCAUUGGGGAUGAUUCAGUGCUUGAGUUUUCCAUGUAUUGAUAUUAAUAUCACGUUUUUUCAGAUUGGCCUUCAGGGUGUUCUUGAAUCUCUUCUUUUGCCCACCUCUAGAGAGGUGACCAUUGGUGAAGUAGGAGUAUAGUCUUGGGAGCUGGAAACCUUAUGACAUGUCCUGUCCAAUAGAGCUGGUACCCUAUAAACAUGGCUUCAAUGCUGUUGGUGUUUGCUUGAGCCAGAACACUGGCAUUCAUUCUUCUGUCCGUCCAAUGGAGGAUUUUCCAAAGAUAUUGCUGAUGGUAAUGUUCCAAAGCUUUCACAUCUGUCUUCCAUGUUUCAUGCCCACAUAAGCUAGGGAUGAUAUGCUUGAUUUGGGUCCUGAUGUUAUGAUCAUCAAAGCCACAAUUUUAGAGAAGUCCAAAGGCAGCACUCAUAGAUUUUAUCCAGGGUUAUGUCUUGUGGUGUGUCAGGGCUGAUGGUACUUUUACUAAGAGGUUAGAGAUUAUGGAUUUGUAUAGGAUGGUUUGGUUAGGGAUGAACCUGUCUCAGGCAGGAAGCUGAACUAGAUGACCUAUAGAAGUCCUUUCCAGCCUUCUCUAUGAUUCCUUUGAGUGUAGUCUCUUUACUUUUUGGGGAAAGGUGGCUACUCACGUAGGGGAAAUGCUCAACAUCCUCCAAGGAUUGCCCUCUAAUUGUAAUAUGAGGAGGGGCAACUAGUUGGUUUGGAGUGGGUUAGUAAACUAUCUUUUGUUGUGAAGUUGGCAGAGAGUCCAAGCAUUUUAUAUAAAUCAAGAAAUACCUGGAACUCUUCAGCUGAGUGGGAACAUAUGACACAGUCAUUAGUGUAUUGAAAAUAAGUAACGGAGGUGUUGGUUAUCUUGGAUUUGAAACAUAACUGGUUGAUAUUAGAGAUUCCUGUCCAUGCAAUACUGGAUGUGACUCCAGAUGGAAAUCUGUCAGCAAUGAAAUGUGGAAUAGCUGUGAUAUAGAUGGAAAAGAGUAUUGGUACAGUUGCCCAUUCUUGUUUGACUUCAAUUUCAAUGGCAAAAGGGUCUGUUUCUAAGCCACUGCUUAGGAUGGUUGUCUUGUCCCUGUGAAGAAGACUGAUGAUGGGACAAAUUUUGGCGGGCAUCCAAAUUUCAUCAGGAUCUUCCAUAGGGCCUCUCUGUUGAUUGAAUCAAAGGCCAUUGUCAAUGAAAGCCAUAUAAAGAUCUUAGUGUCACUUGCAACACUCAUUUUGUAGCUGUCUAUUAGCAAAUAUUGUAUGUAUUGUACCUUUGAAUGGACUGAAACCAUAUUGGUAUUUGGUAGUAUCUUCUAAGCAAGGAAAGUGAGUUUACUGAGGAGAAUACAGGUGAGGCUCCUCCCAGCUAUGGGCAGGAUGCAAUAUCAUAAUUACUGCUGCAAUUUGAUCUUCCUCCUUACUUGAAUACAGUAAUUAUUCUGGCAUCUUUCAGAUCACUGGGAAUCUGCUCAUGUUUCCAAAUUUUCAUAAUAAUGAUGUGUAGUUGGUAAGAGAGCUUUUUUUUUUUUUUUUAACUUGCUUAUAAAUUUCAGCUGGUAUUCCAUGUGUUUGUUGUUCUUCAUCUGCUUAAUGGCUUUCAAGGCUUUCAGGCAUCUUGGUAAGUUUGCAGGUCUGCAAGGUAGUCCAUAAAGGAGUGUUGUGGAACAACAUUGAUGGUAUUGUCUUUGAAUCGAUUAAAAUUUUGGGUCAGGAGCUCUUGAAAGUGCUGCUUUCACAGUAUGUUGAUGGUGGAGCUGCUUUUAAAGAAUGCUGUUCCAUUCUUGGACCUCAGAGCGUGGCUCCUUGUGUGGUGGCCCAUAGAUAGCUGUGGUUGUGCUGGAGAAACUAUGCAUGCCGUGGCUGUCUGCAAAAAUGUGAAUCUCUCUUGCACAAAGAGAUUCAACAUUUUUCAGACAGCCACAACAUGCAUAGUUUCUUCAGUGGUGUGUCCUCUCACCCCUUGUUCUUUCAUUUUUAAAUUACCCUCUGGUUUUCAGCUUUAAUGCAAUGAUAAAUGUCUUGCUUCAGAGAAGAAUUCCACCUUUCCUCACUCCAUCCCUUCCAAGUCUUUCUUUCCAUAGCUCAGGGUCUCUACUUACUCUAGCAUUGAAAUCACCAGAAAGAAUGAUCUUACCUUCCUUGGGGAGAGAUGACGAGAGCUGGUUGAAUUUAGAAUAACCUUUUUCUGUUUGGGCAUUGUAUCAAGGGUUGGGGUGUAUGCACUGAUGGCUGUUGCAUUUUGUCUGUCAGUCAGUUGAAGAGGAAAAGUCAUGAGAUGCUUAAUGAUGCCAUACAGAUAUUUUGGCAUCUUGGACUUGAUAGCAAAAUGAAUGCUGUGAUGAUUUCUAAUUGAAUCAAGUAUCUGUCCUGGAGAAGCUUCAGCUAAAGAUCCCAAGUAACUUAAAAAUCUGCUAUAACCCAAUGUAGGUUGUUCUAGUGGACUUAAAGGCCUCAUUGCUAAAACUAUACAUCCUAUGUCUUCCCUUCAGUGUUGAGCAAUUGUGGCUCAUUAUACGUUUGUCUGCUAAACUGAGGAGCCAUCUGUUGUAUGAAGCAGGGUUGAAUUAGGAAAGGGAAUUUUACAAACAAAACCAUCUCUAAUAGCCUCCAUAAUACUUGAAAAAUCUAUAGAAUAAAGAUGUCUUAAGUUUCCAUUGCCUCUAUAUUCAGUCAUAUUCAGAAAGCCUCCAUAUUUUGGUGACUAAACAUAAUUCCUUUUAAUUAAGACUCCCAUUUAAGAUGUAGGUACUCUAACUUUGCAUCUGUGUUGGGUAAUCUUCCUGUUCAUUUCCUCCUGCCAACAUUUUCUGCUGUUAAAAUUUGCCUUUCCAGAGCACGAAUUUUAAUUAAACCAAACAUAAUUAGGUUCAAAGUUUGAUUCUUUCAAAAUUCCACAGCCUUGGCUUAGUUUAUGCAUCUGUGCUGUCAUUUUUAAGCUUGAGCUAAAGGAUUGCAAACUGACUCCAUUUAGUUAGCACUUUGUACAUGCUGGAUUUAACAUGCCACAGUUGUUUGUUCUAGGACACAAACAUAUGCGGUUUACUCUAAGCUGCAUUUUAAAGGCAGCCAAAACUACCUUUCUCCUGGAACAAAUAUUUAUGGAGGGUCCAAAUUAGUAUGUAUCAACAUAUUGACUGAGUUAAUUGCUGAUUACUUAACCCUAAGUUAAAAACCAAAACAAGACUAAUGUUGUAACUGUUUCUAUAAAUGUAACUGAGUUGCAUUUAUACCCCUGACAUGUAUUCCUUGCUUCUAAUCAGUGCUACUAAGAGGAAAUACCCUGCAGAAUUGGGCCCUUUAAUUUAUAGGAUUUGAAUAGUGAUAAAGUUAGUUUCUAAAUGAAACUUGGCAGCAACCCCAUAAUGCCUGCCCGCAGUUAUUUGAUAAGGGCUAAAUCUGCUGAAAAGCUGUAGUGUCUGUGAAGAUCAUGAGAUUGCGUGAUAACAGGGCACGUGCUGUAUUGCAGUAACAGCAGCAGAAAUGCAUUGUCAUUAGUAGGGACCUACUGAAAUCAUGUUUUUGUGAUUUUUGCAGAAACCGUGAUUUCAGGCAUGUUCUGUGAAAAAGUGUGGGCGCCGUGCUUUGGGCGGGCGGGCUCCCGGAGAAAAAAACAAAACAAAACUUACUGAAAAUAAAAUGCUGGCUCCCUCUGGGUAGCCAGCAGCCCUCGUGGCUCGAUUGUGCAACCCGCUAGGGGGGUGGUGGGGCGGGAAGAGACGAGGGGGGCUGCUGCCCCCUCCACUGCUAAUUGGCUGUAACGGCUGUCCAUCUUAUGGCCCUUCCUCCUCGUCAUCAAUUGGUGGUAAGGCAUGGGGCCAUGUGACAGAUGGUCCUUGCAGCCAAUCAGCAAUGAGGAGCAGGGCUACUGGGGCCUGUUGGCCAAUCAGAGGUGUGUGUGGGGCGGGGGCAGUCACACUCCACCCAUAAAAAUGGCUGCCCACCCUGCGAUUUGCACGUGAAAUCUGCUGGGAGCUGCCUCGAGUUCACUAGACUGCUAGUUAUUAGUUCUGCCCUUUUUGCCUUUUCCAGGAGCAGGAAUAAAGAAGCUGCCUUUAAAGCUCGAAUACGUAUAAAUGCAAGUGCGCUCUCGUCUAGCGCAGUUUCCGUGUGCAGAGAUGAAGGUUGCUUUUUGAAGACACAGGAUGAUGAAAAAUGAAGCCAACUGAGCAGAUGGGAGAAUGUUUCUGGCCAUCUUCAGCGUUGCACAGUCGGAUUCAGCAAGGUGUUCAGCUUGAGUUGGACCACUCUUGUACUGGACGUUGGGUUCUCGAAGUUGCUUAAGAGGAAACUGGACGACCACCUAGGCGGCUUAACUUGAGAAAACAAAAAUCUACAAGUCUGACCAUGGAGAUUACAGAAUCGUUUCAUAAGAGGGGACUUGCCCUCAGGUUGCCUGUUGAAACUUUUAAGUCCACAUCUGAGGUCAAAGUGAAACACUCGCUGUUUGCACUAUUUAAGAGACAAGAUGCAGAAUUUUGUGCAUAUUUAUCCAAAUUGCUGCAGAAUCCCAUGCUGAGAGUCAUCAUGAUUAGCACCGUCUUGGUCAAUGCACUGUUCAUAACUAUGGAGACUGAUUAUAAUAUUAGGUUUCAAUCUCAUACGUUUUUGGAGCUGGCAGACGUGAUCAUUCUGGCCAUCUAUACCACAGAGUUUUUGAUCCUGUUUUAUGUGGACCCCUUGAAUUUCUGGAGGAGUGGCUACAACAUACUCAAUGCUGUCAUUCUCCUCUUUGCUUACCUCCCGUAUACCAUCAACAAAAAUAACACCAAAUACUACUGGACCUGGAGCACGCUCAAAGGUUUCCAGGUGCUCCGGAUUCUGAAACUCAUCAACUACAGCCGAGGAAUGAGGAAUUUGAUGACAGCUCUAGGCCAGACUAUGAAGACUGUGAUCUAUGUCCUUAUUCUGCUGUUCCUGCUAAUGUUUAUCUUUGCCAUUUUGGGCCACGGUUUGUAUGGAGACCCUGACACUGGAGACAGAGGAAAUUGGGGCAACCUCGCAUCUGCACUUUUCACGCUCUUCAGUUUAGUCACGGUCGACGGCUGGACGGACUUGCAGAGCAGCUUGGAGGAUCACGGUUUUACUGCCAGCCGAGCGUUCACCAUAGUCUUCAUCUUGCUGGGCUUCUUUGUGUUUUUCAAUAUGUUUAUUGGUGUUGUCAUUAUCAAUAUCCAGGACUCGACUCAAAAUUACAAGUGGGAGCGUAAAGCAGAAACACAGGCUGCUCUUCAGGCCAAAAAACAAGCCAUAUUAAAGAGACAACAAGAAGAAGUGAGCAAGUUAAUGCACCAGCAGAAAACCAGCGAGUAUAAAGCUUUCAGUGAAUUGGUGGACAACUUUAAAAAGACGUUACAGCAUUCUGAUACUGUGGUCAUAGAAGAUUUUUGUGCCAGUAUCGCAUUUAUUGAUCUGUAUUUGACAUCCCUGGAUCUUCAGGAUGAUACAAUAUAUAGGCUGCAAGGACUCUAUUACGAACUCGCUAACACGUUGAACACGAUGUUGGUAGACAUGAAAGAAACAUCUGAGGCCCCUCCUGAGAACCAGAAGGAAAGCUGACUGGGGGCAUCACCUGUGUUGGGGGCAUCAGGCACAGGCAUGUUAGGAGAGAGCACUUUCCACAGCUAACAGCAUCCUUUAUAUGACAUUUUGCUGCAAGAAGAGGAAGCAUGGAAGAUGGGCUUGAGCUAGCAGGUCCCCCAAGUGCCCCUUGUCCCUCAGCUGGAGCUCUGCACUGAGUCUAGGCAGUUUCUAAAGUGGCUUUUGAGUCUGGCUCCGUGGUGCAUCCUGUCACCUGGCGGUCAUGCCCCUCACCGGAAGAACAUACAUGGAAAAAGCUGAGUGCUGCAGUUUGGUUUGCAUAUCCAUUUUGAGCAUGCCUUGACCUGGAGAGAUGUAGAUAGACGGUGGCAGGCACUGGAAAAUACCUGCACUCAGAGAAGAUCUACUGCUACUGGGGCCACAAAACGAGCAUAAUAGACCAAAACCCCAACAAAACCAAAUGCAGGCACAGGUCAAGCAUGUCCUUGUGAAGUCCCUGAUUGAAUAAAAAAACCCCAAACCAGUAAAGGCCUCAGGGCCUGGACUUUUGUGCUUGUUUUCUUGCAAGUUACUGUUUCUUGGGGGAAAAAAGAAAAGUCCCCAGCAGACCCCAGUACCUGGGGGAGUCCCGGCUUUGGUGUACGCUUGUGAUUUAUGGGGUACUUGUUAAAACCACUUGUUCUUGUCAAAACAAAACAGAUUGAAGGGAGUUUGGGAGACGGUCUCCUUCUAGUUGGCACUUCAUCAUGGCUUCUUACUCUUUCCUAGGUUCUGGAAGUUUACAGUUAUAUAAAACUUAAUGAAUCAGUAUACUUUAGAUUUCCGUCCUAAUACAUAUGGGUUCAAUUAACUGUGCCGUUUGCUUAUUUAAGCGUUUUCAUUAAAUUGCUUUACUAUAUUUUCCCGCAAUUGAAAGGGAGCAUGGUGGAGAUUAUGCCA